AAAUGACUCUCGGCAACGGAUAUCUCGGCUCACGCAUCGAUGAAGAACGUAGCAAAAUGCGAUACUUGGUGUGAAUUGCAGAAUCCCGUGAACCAUCGAGUUUUUGAACGCAAGUUGCGCCCGAAGCCUUUUGGCCAAGGGCACGUCUGCCUGGGCGUCACACAU
rnacentral:rRNA from 1 species